UACGUAGGGUGCGAGCGUUGUCCGGAAUUAUUGGGCGUAAAGAGCUCGUAGGCGGUGUGUCGCGUCGGCCGUGAAAGUCCGGGGCUCAACUCCGGAUCUGCGGUGGGUACGGGCAGACUAGAGUGAUGUAGGGGAGACUGGAAUUCCUGGUGUAGCGGUGAAAUGCGCAGAUAUCAGGAGGAACACCGAUGGCGAAGGCAGGUCUCUGGGCAUUAACUGACGCUGAGGAGCGAAAGCAUGGGGAGCGAACAGG
rnacentral:rRNA from 1 species